UAAAAUCUGAAAAUAUUAUUAGAAACCUAAAUACCCAAAAUUGAAUAAUAAAAAUUAAAUAAAAGAAAAAAGAAAAAGAUUUCCAUUCCUAAAAUUUGAAAAUAUUAUCAGCCCUAACACUUCUCUCUCUAGUUCGCCUCCCACCAAAUCUCAAUUUGUCGCGCCUUCCCCGAGUCCGCCGCGCCCCCGAUCUACCGCGCCUUCAUCCAGCUCCCCCAGUCCAUCGCGCCCUCGGUCUGCCUCCGUCUGCCUCCGUCGCGCCCUCGUUCUUGCUCCGGCGUGUUUUAUUGGCCGACUAUGCGGCGGCGGCGGGCUAGGGUUUUGAAACCCUUGCUGUGAUGAAGAGAAGAAACGGGUCAGAAAGAUGGGCUAGGAUUUUCCAGACUCCAGUCUUCGCCGCGUCUCCACGAUCUGCCGCACCGCUUCCUUUUCAGACCGCCGCGUCUCAAUUUUCUCCUUUUAGAUUUAGUUUCUUCGUCGAGCUUGCGGUCUCGUUUGAGUAAUUGGCGUAUUGUUUUUGUUGUUGUAAUUUCUUCAUGUUGAUUGUAGAUUGGCGCCACCAGCUGCAGCACGAUCCGGUCUCGCCGCCCGCCUCCGCCUCCAGUUCACCAACAUACAGGCCGCCGCUCUGUGGGGCGGCGCCGCCGGCACCGCCGCUAUCUACCUUGUUCAGGUACCUAUAUCUGCCUUUCCCCCUUUUUUUUGUGGUUUACGAUCUGCGGCUGGUGCCUCCCUUCCCUUGCUGUAUCCUCCGACUCCCAGGCCUCUCCUUCCUCGCGCUCGCGCCUCUGACAGAGCUAGGGCAGAAAACUCCAGCGCGCGGCAAUAUCGAUCAGCCCUCCCCUCCUCGCUAUAUCCUCUAACUUCUGCCCUUCCCUCCCUCGUGGAAGCCCUCACUACAUUCCAACAGUUGUUAAUUUUAGUAUUAGCUGGUUCAAACGCCUCAAGGGCUCUGCUAGAGUAGCUGGUGAUGACGAUGAGGAUGGCUUCGAUGACCUUUACAAUGAGUUUGCUUUCAGCAUUCAACUUUUUUCAUACAUAUCCAUGUUUGCAUGUGCAGCGACAUUUUGAGCAUACUCCUCCUCCACUUCCAUGGACUGAUUCAAGCCUUGUAGGUACUGUUCCAGCUUGCUCCUCUGCACUUUGUUUAAUAGCAUGGAAGAAGCGGUUGGAGAGAUGGAAAUCGAGGCAACUAUAUUAUCCCUUAUGUUUCAAGUGUAUAUACAAGAUAAUAGCUUCGGAUUUCCAUAAACACAAUGGGAGAAUAAGCUUUUGGUAUAUAUAUAUAUAUCUUAUUUUGCUUUAUAAAAUUUGAAGUGAGUUAUGAAGAAAAGUCAAAUAGUUUGAUUGAUCCGAAAAUAUAGGGGAAAAUGUUGUGAUAGAACUAGACACGUGUGUUAUGAUCAAUAAUUCCUAUGACAUAAUUUUAUGUUACAUUUGCUACUCUUUGCAGUUGAAUUGAAUGCUUUUCUCAUGGAUUAAUAACCAUUUCCUUUUCCUAUUGGAUCAACCAUUGGAUGCCUUAAAAUUUGAAAAUGUAAUACUUAUCUGAUCUCAUACAAGUCAAACUAAGUUUCAGGUGCAUCUGCAAUUGAUUUAUUUUACUAGAAGAUUGAUUUAUUAAUGGAAAAUAUAUCUUAACCUUUUGUUUGGUUUGUACUAUUCUCCUGAUCAGAUACCCCAUAAAUUCAUGUAAAUCUGCUAAAUAUUUGAAAUUCUUAAUCAAAACUAGCAGCUAUCUUGUUCCCAAAUUAGAACACGUCUUGAUAAAGCUUUUCUCAGUUUCCGCAAAAGAUGCUUCUAAUCAUCUUGAAAUGCCAGUUGUUUGGCAAAGUAUUAUACCAAGUACAGUCAUUCAAUGAUACAUUUUUUAAGAGUUCAAAAUCACAACUCUAGUAUGUGACAACUUUUAAAUAAAGUUUAUUACGCAAUACCUCAGAAGCAAGCAAUGGCCGAGAAUUCAUAUCUCCGUAACGGAAUCCAUAUUUUUCCAAAAAAUUCCAGCAUCCGUGUUUAGGUCUUGAUUUCGAAGGGAGUUUCAGCUCUAAAUAGUAAGCCCCAUCACUAGUCUUGGCUUCGUUGAUAGAUAUUUGUGAGGCCUCCUGCGGAUAAGUGAAAAACUUGAGGCUAAUGUGAAUGUUUUGCUUUAUACAUAUGGAAACAACAGUUAAUGGGAAAUGGUCUUGCACUUUUGUGACUCCUGCGUGUUUUCUAUGUGUUUAAUUACCUUCACUUAUGUUACUCUGCUUUAUUUUAAAUCAAUUUCUGAUUUAAAAAUUAGUAGCUAAUGUGAAUGUUUUGUCUUAAUUUGAGAUAUUGUAGCUGCUUCACUGAUUAAGAAUGAUUUUUGAAGUGCGUUUUCAAAGUCCACUGUUUUGAAGAUUUUUGAGCUAUUCUGAUGAGAUACCAUUUAAAGUUGGUGCUCCUGGUGCUUUCUCAGACCCAACAUCAGGUAAAUAAUUUGUGCUGCAUAUUUGGUAAGUGUUUAUGACUACAACUGAUGCUAACCUCUCCACCUAGACUAGUUUCUCACCAUGGUAUCGCUGGAACAUGUCAUCUGCCUUGUUUUCCAUAGUUAAUUUAUUUUGUCAACCUCCUGUUAUGUAUGGAUCUUAAAUGUCUAUUUGAGAUCUCUUUUCUUUGUACCAAGUACUCAGUGCAUCAUUAUCUCGAACCAUACAUGUUAUAUUAUGAUCUUGUCUUCACAUUUGGAUAUCCUUAUUUUUUCUGUUGUUCAGUUCGAUUCCUGUACUAGUGCAAUCGAUCAAAGCAUAAUUUUCUUUCAGAAACAACAACUUGAUAUAUGGAACCUAGUUAUGUGUGCAACUCUGAGGAACCUUGUGUCCGUCUAAUGAUUAAUUAUUCAAACACAGACAAUUUGCAGAGAACAAUCCUGAUUUGAUUUUUGUUGAUUCUCUCAUCUUUUUGCUAGGUGACAAGAUGGCGCUAGAUCAAUUCAUCUCAUUGUGGAUUCAAGAAGAUACAAGUGCUCUAUCUAGCAUGCCUUUGAGUAAGAUACAAGAAGAAUUUGUGAAUCAUUUGCAUACUUGAUAUUAAUGUUCAAGUUCCCAGGCCAAUCAUUAGCUAUAAGGUAGUUGGUAUUUUCAAUUUUGAAUCGAAAUAUGCAAUGAUGAUGUAUACUUGAUAUUUGGUUCAUUUGUAUAAUAAUGUAUGAAUUUUUUGGAUGAUA